rnacentral:lncRNA from 1 species
AUGGUGGUCUGGAAUAACAGUGAUACUAUGGAACCUAUAUUUAUUCUGAGGGGUUUUCCUGGACUGGAGUAUGUUCAUUCACAUCUCUCCAUCCCAUUCUGCCUCGCAUAUUUGUUAGCAUUUAUUGGUAAUGCUACCGUCCUCUCUGUUAUUUGGACAGAGUCCUCACUCCACCAGCCCAUGUAUUACUUUCUCUCUAUGUUGGCACUAACUGACCUAGGUAUGUCCUUGUCCACACUGCCCACUAUGCUUGCUGUAUUGUGUUUGGAUGUUCGGGAGAUCCAGGCAAGUGCUUGCUAUGCCCAGCUCUUCUUCAUCCACACUUUCACAUUCCUGGAGUCCUCAGUGCUGCUGGCCAUGGCCUUCGACCGCUUUGUUGCUAUUUGCCAUCCACUGCACUACACCACCAUCCUCACCAACAGUGUAAUAGGCAAGGUUGGUUUGGCCUGCUUGCUGAGAAGCAUGGGAGUUGUACUACCCACACCUUUGCUGCUGAGACACUGUCACUGCUGCCAUGCCAGUGCCCUCUCCCAUGCCUUCUGUUUGCACCAGGAUGUUCUGAAGUUAUCCUGUUCAGGUGCCAGGAUCAGCAGUGUUUAUGGACUGAGUGUAGUUAUUGCCACACUGGGCGUGGAUUCUGUCUUUAUACUUCUUUCUUAUGUCCUGAUUCUGAAGGCUGUGCUGGGCAUCGCCUCUCAUGAGGAGCAGCUAAAGGCACUCAACACAUGUGUGUCUCAUAUGUGUGUGGUGCUCAUCUUCUUUGUGCCAGUUAUUGGGGUAUCAAUGGUCCAUCGCUUUGGGAAGCAUUUGUCUCCCAUAAUCCACAUCCUUAUGGCGGACAUAUACCUGCUUCUUCCCCCAGUGCUUAACCCUGUUGUUACAGCAUCAGGACAAAGCAGAUUGUCUAGGAAUUCUCUGCAAGUUUGGGAUAAGGAGGAGGUUUUAA